GCUGAGUCUGUAGAGAAGUAUGGGACACAUGAACAGCAAGCAAGCGCAGGACAAAAAAAUAAUAAUAAUAAAAAUUAUUCUAUGGAGUCAUUUGUACGACCAGAGACUCAUCGCAUCGCGAAGGCUCGCAGACGCCAGAAAAGGGUGCGGGGGGCCAGAACGUGUAAGGAGAAAUGGAUGAAGGCAAGGGAGAUGGGACGUCGCUGCCUGAGACUGCCCAUGUAGGUGUAGAUCAAAAUUCAAAAAAGUAUUUUUUGGAACCUCCAAUGCAACAGAGCGUCACGGGUGUGAAAAAUUUAGAGUCAACAACAAAUGCAGAGGGUGAUGGGAUGUGGCUGCACCAACAAGAGGGAGCCAAUGAGACCCUAAAAAAUUAUUUUAUUAUGCAUCCGACGCAGAUAGCAAGCAUGGAAAUAGCCAGCAGAAGUCAGUAAGUGGGUCCGAGGGCCAGAAUGAAUCAGUGGACAUAAUGGAAGGAAGUUGAGAACACAACCCAUUAGUUGAAGAGACUGUAUGUCAGAUUAAGUAUCACGAUUCAAAAUUUUGAUCGAGUCUGUGAUAAUAGUCACGAUAUUUCGAUAGACAUUCAUUAUUCAGAAUAUCAAUUGAAACUUUAUAAGAUUUAACAUCAGUUUUUUCACUUUUCUUAUGAGUAUUAGUUACUAAAAUCACGUUUUAAAGUGAUAUGAACCAAUUUUAAUUCAAAAACAGUCAAAGAGAAGUUUCAACUACACAAGAGUAUUUUAGUUAUUUUUUUCAAAAAUUUUAAAAACCAGCUAAAAUGUAGUAUAUGAGAGAAAUUUACACAUUUCAUAAUCGAAAAUAAGUUUAGAUAUAUAAAACAUUCAUUUAAAGUGAAAUUAUAGCUAAUGGAAUAAAAUAAAAAUAAUAAAUAAAAUAUUUUAAUUUUUCAUAAAAUAUUUUUUAUAGAACGCUACGUAAAUAAUUUUUACAGCGUAAAAGUAAAAUAAAUUCCUACAUACAGUAGCACACGCAGCCAAGUAUUCAAAACAUUUAACAAUGACAUGUGAGCCCCCGAAUGACUAAAAGUAAUGAAGAUUGUGAACCUACAGUUUUUGAGGAUGCAAGUCCAACUGUAGCCCUCAACAAAAUGAGCUAUUUACCGACUAUCUUGAGCUUGAAAUAGGUGAAAAUGAAGGUGGUGAGAUUAUAUAAUCCCACUGAGUAAACAAAUAUUAUCUAAAAUAUCUAAAACUGAGUAAAUGGAGACAGAUAAAAUAGAUUAGCAUAAAAAUAAUUCACAACAUUUUGAAUUCAUUUUAAUAAGAUAAAAUAGCUUCAUUUCACCCAAAUAAACAACGAGGCUUAUGAUUUCUUGAAAAGCUUGGCUCGUGCCAAAAUCAUUCUCAUACUCAUUUGUCAGGGAUACCUUGACUUGGGGCUAUCCCAAUCAAGUCCGCCAAGGCUGUUAAAAAGUCAUGUACGCAUAAAUCUUGUUUUUAUUUUGAAAACAUAGUCGUUCCUUGGCGUUGGCUGAGUUUACCCUCACGUGGUGGUUUGACGUCAAGUGAACUCUAAAGUUUUACCUCAAAAGUUACCUUAUGCGCCUCUCGUAUUGAGGUAAAAUAUAACGGGUUUACCGUACCCAUUUGAUAGGCUGGUCCACAGAAACCCGCCACUGCAGUGACUAAUCUAUAACCCACCAAUUCAAUAAAAAUUCAACAGCAUGACAUGGCAAUUUUAUCAUUAUCAAGCCUAUCAAGGCAAACAACAGUUUAUACAUUUUCAACACAAAUACCCAUCCAACCAUUCAUGCCCACAUUAUCAUAAGCCAUUCAAUUCAAAACAUAAUUUACAAUACAGCAAGUAGUCUCCAAUUACUCCAUUUUCAAGUCAUCAUUAAAUUUCAAAACAAUUUAUAAAAUCAUUUCAUUUAAACACAUUUUUCAUAAAAUUACAAAAUCGAAUAAAAACAUACUUUAGAUAAUUAAGACGAUAAUAAGGUUACUCACAGUAAUAGGAAUCGUAUUCGGGAUACUCUGAUUCUGGAUCCUCGGAUACUACCUCUUUACUCUUGCCAGAAUGCUCACCACCUUGACAUAAUGCACAAUAAGUAAUUUGUUACAUUUGUGCUAAACCGUUGUAAAACCAAUUCAGACUCUAUACUAAUGCAUGAAAUGGGAUGUGAAAUACUCGGGUAACUAUCUAAAUACGGUGUUCAAUAUAAAUUCAAUCAUGUACCUAAAUAAAAUGGUAUUGGCCUAAUUCGAUCUAUCACCCGAUUAAUUGGCCAAUACAUCUAAUUCAACUCCAAACAAUUCCAUUUCUCUCCCAAUACUCCAAAUCAUUAAAUACAAUUUAAAUAACUUGAAAUGUGGUAAAAUCAUCCUCACAUUUUCUCUUGAAAAAUUUGGCCAUGGUGAGUGCACUAACAAUAUAAUUUUUCAUGCUUGAUUCUCACACCAUAAAUCAUUCAUUCUUAAUCAAAUCACUUGAAAUUCAAUCAAAUUCAUCAUCAAUAUUCCACAUGAAAUAUUCGGCCAAUGAAGGUGAUGUAAGAACAUGAAUUUUUCUUGCUUGCUUUUCAUACUACAUAUCACCAAACAACUAAAAACACUAGAAUAACAUGUUUUCUAACUAAAUUCAUCAUCAAAUUCUCUCUCCUAAGGUUUGAUCAGCACACUAUCCUUCAUGAUAUCUUGUGAUUCAACCAUGAAAAAUGCAAAAUAAUGCAUAGAAAAGGUAGAUCACAAGCUAGAAUUAAAAAUUUUUACCUUUAAUGGCUUGAUUCCUUGAAAUUUGGUGAAUUUCUCUUGAAUUUCUUAGCUAGGGUUUUGUUCUUCUUCUUUUCUUCCCUUUUCUUCCUUUGGCCAACCAAGAGAAAUGAG
rnacentral:lncRNA from 1 species